rnacentral:rRNA from 1 species
UACGGGGGGGGCAAGCGUUGUUCGGAAUUACUGGGCGUAAAGGGCUCGUAGGCGGCCAACUAAGUCAGACGUGAAAUCCCCAGGCUCAACCUGGGAACUGCGUCUGAUACUGGAUGGCUUGAAUUCGGGAGAGGGAUGCAGAAUUCCAGGUGUAGCGGUGAAAUGCGUAGAUAUCGGGAAGAACACCCGUGGCUAAGGCGGUUCUCUAGUACGGUACUGACGCUGAGACGCGAAAGCGUGGGGAGCGAACAGG